AAAAAAAGGGGGCGAAAUGCCGCCAAAACGGAGAGGUGUGAGGAAAAAGGAUGAGAGAAACAGCACCGCGAGGUUUUGUUUUUUUUUUUUUCUGUGCUAAAGGUGUUGUGUGGCAAUAAGUUUAAACUCUGAAGCACCCUAGAAUUGGGCCAAGCUGUAGGAACUGUUUGAAAUCCAGGAUGACAUUGAAAUGUGACCAUCUGGAAGGCAAAAUGCAAGGACUCUUCCUUUCCAAUGACAGAAUUUGCGAAGGCAAAAGAAGUUGCAUCUUUCCUGACCUUCUCCUCCAGAAAUUCAACAUGUAUUUUCUUGUGCACUGACUAGCUACUGCAGUUUAAAGCAAAUAAGGAUGUGAUCCCAUGUCUCAUCCCAUUGAUGGUCCUAAGAUCGGAGGAACUCGGAGUGUGCGUGGGGUAAUGAAGGACCAGGACACAGCUUUUCUGGCACAGGCCACUGCUCUUUGGUCAUAACUGUGGUCCACAUGCUUUGGGGAAUGGGUAACUGCUGCAUUUUAUUAAAGACCCACAACUGAAAUAAUAAUAAUCGGAUAAAAGGAUCAUUUAUUGUCAAACGAUUAUGGGGCUGCAUUAUGUGGUUUCAUAUCUUUUCCUUCAAAAGCUCUGCGUUGCAAACCAGCUUGCAGUUUUACUCUGUGCCAUUAAGAAUUUGGUAUUACACAGGAGUAUAUUUCACAUGGCAAAUUCUGUGGAACAUGGAUUAUAUUAUCAGGAAAUAAAUAAAAAUUUCUCAAGUUAGCCCUGGCUCUUCCAGUGGUAAUCAGGAAAUCAUUUGUCCUUAAGCUACAGCAGAGGUUUGGUUUCUUAAAAACUGAAUAGGGAAAAAUGCUUUUAGGGUGAUUUCUUUACAAUAAAAACAUGAUAGGCUUAAAGCAAACUGAUGAUCUUUGUGAAGCCGUUCACAAAGCUGGGGAGCAACCAGGUUCCCAACUGAUGUAAGUCAGCAUAGACCCAUUAGCUGGCGGUGCUGGGUUUGUGUGUGUGGUGCAGGGUUUUGGCAGCGGGGAGGGGGCUGCAGCGGUGGCCCCCUGGGAGAAGCUUCUGGAAGCUCCCCUGGCUCCAAGUCGGUCCCACCUCUGGCCAAUUAGUGGCUGAACCAAUUAGCGAUGGUGGUUGUGCCUCUGCGAUAACGUGUUUAAGAAGGGGAACUUGAGGAGGAGG